GCUGGUUUUCUUUUUAAUUAGUUAAUGCCAGCCCAGUGUUGACUGGACUCCCAUUUGACAACUCUCAGCACUUUGCAGGUGAGUUCAUGGGAAUCCUACCCAACUGUGCUCUCAGGAGCAGAGGAAAUUGCAGAGUUUUUGGGUUUGGGUUUUUGGUUUGGGGGGGGGGGGGUUGCCAACUCCCAUUUAUAAAUUUUGCUUCUGCAUCGGCUGGUCUUUUCUCUGCCAGUUGUCUGGUUUGGAACAUGCACCAAAAGUGAUUUCCUUCAAUACCCAACGCAGCAGAGAAAAAGCUUUGACAAGACACUUAAGAACUGCAGAGGAACACCCUCUCUAGACCUUGCUUCUUGCAUAUUAGUGAUUUUUCUAAGAAAUUGGAAGGCCUGGCUUAGGAUGCUGCUCUAAUAAGAACUGGGCACCAGCUCAAUUAUGCAGCUGUCUUGGUUUUGCACUUCCAAGCUGUGUGUUAGACAGCUGAACUUCUGCACAGGAGUCACACAAAGUUUUCUUACAGUAUGAAAUGCAGCAAGGCAAUCAAAGUUAGCGACUGCUGAGGAAGAAGUGGUAACAGAACCUCAGCUGGCCAUUCUUGUGCAGGAAACAUCUUUAAUAUACACCUCCCUCAACAUUUAUCCCCUGAGGAAGCCUGCUUGACCUCCACUUAUCUAAAAUGAGAAGCAGAAGUUUGUGAGGAGUUGGUUGUCCUUAAGACCAAAGUCGACGGAGUGCCUUGCUGUCCUGUUCCCCACAAAUGUACUCUUUUGCUGGAAAGGACUCUUGAGGACUCGGGAUCCUGUUGGUCUGUGGAAAUCUUUCCCCUUGCUAACUCCCUCCCACCACUUCAGGCCUGCUCUGUAAGGAGUUCACGAACCUUCUCCGGAUCAUCAGGGCUUGAUGCAAUCAACUGUGAAGCAUUAGCUCUAAAUAUACAACUGGGAGGCCAGUUCUGCUUCAACACACAAAGGCUCAUCGCAAAGGAUGAUAAAGCAGUGAGCGCAAUUUGCAAGAGAAACUUAAAUAAUAAUCCAAGUCAGCUGCAAGGAAAGCAGGAGCAAGUGGGGGCUAACCAACGUUUUACCCGUUGGAGAUGGCUAAAGUUAGGGGCAAACUGGCAGGAGCCUCAGAAAGCAGGCCCACCCACAGCCGUUAUGUGGAGCAGCUUUUGUCCUUAUUUGCGAAGCUAAAUGCAGAAGCUCAUUCCGCUUUAUUUACUUGUUUAGGUGAUUUUUGGCAGCUCACCCUGUGUUCCUGGUGCAAAUCCUCAGUGCGUGGACAGAUAAUUGAAAAACAGCUGCAGUGGGCCAAGAGACCCAGAAUUCAACUUGUACAAGGAAAACAAACAGGAAAUACUUGAGAGUUUUGGGAAGGUCUCCCACAGCUCUGCCCUCAGUCCAGCAUGUGAAGUCCUCAAAAUCCAAAUGCCCAUUUCCACGGGGAAGCUUGCAACAGAGACCUCAAGGCCAGAUUCAACGGGACACUUAGGCACUGCUCCCAUAACAGAGGAAGGAAAUGGGGUACCUCUCUGCCUUGCAGCCCAACUGUAAGGAAAAGUUGUGUUAAGUAAGUCUGUCAUUUUUCUCAUUCAAAGGGAGCAUCCGAAUCCAGGGUUAGCACCUGGAAGACUCUGCGAUGCUCCAGGAUCAGGCCCUCCCAAUUUCUCCUGCUGAAACUGUUUCUGCUACAAACCACAGUAAAGCAAGUGAACAACAGACCCUGGAGCACGUGACAACCAUCUCCUCAUUGCGGAUGAGCAUCAGAGUUGUCUUCUCACCCCUCCGCUCACUUUUUUGGUAAAUAGUGCCCAAAUCUCACUUUAUUUGAGGCCCGAGAGGCUCUGCAAGUUAUUUGGAGUCAUUGGAGAUUUGUCUUGUCCUUGGAUAAACUGUCUGAAAUAUUUCAAUACACUUCAGUCUUGAGUUGACCCAAA